UGACGGAGCACGCCGCGUGAGUGAGGAAGGCCUUCGGGUUGUAAAACUCAGUCACCUGGGAAGAGUGGUAUGGGGAGUGGAAAGCCCCAUACGAGACGGUACCAGGGGAGGAAGCCCCGGCUAACUACGUGCCAGCAGCCGCGGUAAUACGUAGGGGGCAAGCGUUGUCCGGAAUCACUGGGCGUAAAGCGUGCGUAGGCGGUCUUUCAAGUCCGGGGUGAAAACUCAAGGCUCAACCUUGAGAAUGCCUUGGAAACUGGGGGACUUGAGUACUGGAGAGGCAAGGGGAAUUCCACGUGUAGCGGUGAAAUGCGUAGAGAUGUGGAGGAAUACCAGUGGCGAAGGCGCCUUGCUGGACAGUGACUGACGCUGAGGCACGAAAGCGUGGGGAGCAAACAGGAUUAGAUACCCUGGUAGUCCACGCCGUAAACGAUGAGUGCUAGGUGUUGGGGGUUCAUCCCCUCAGUGCCGAAGGAAACCCAAUAAGCACUCCGCCUGGGGAGUACGGUCGCAAGACUGAAACUCAAAGGAAUUGACGGGGGCCCGCACAAGCAGUGGAGCAUGUGGUUUAAUUCGAAGCAACGCGAAGAACCUUACCAGGGCUUGACAUCCCUCUGACCGGUUCAGAGAUGGACCUUCCCUUCGGGGCAGAGGAGACAGGUGGUGCAUGGUUGUCGUCAGCUCGUGUCGUGAGAUGUUGGGUUAAGUCCCGCAACGAGCGCAACCCUUGACCU
rnacentral:rRNA from 1 species